rnacentral:lncRNA from 1 species
UGCGCUUCCUAAAAAAAAGAAUGGAGCCACCUUGUCCAACGAAUGCACUGGUUACUAGUAGGAAGGGACUACGGCUGGCUGGCAGCCAGCAUGCAUAACAUUUCAAUUAAAUAAAGAAAUCAGGAUUCAACCGGUACAACCGCAGCAUUUGUCAGGAAAAAAAAACACAACAAAGGAAAACCUAGAAUCUCGAUACAUGCCAACCGCGAAAGAAAUGCAUAAUAAAAGCACCGUCGAUGCAGUCGAAAGGUGUCGAUCUGCCGAGCCCACCCAGACACUGUGUCGUCACCGUAGCCGAAAGGAAGCACACGGUCGAGGCCGCACCACGACACCAACGUAGCCGGCAAAGUCAAAGGGCCGUGCGCCACCGAGACCCAUCGCGACGCCGAUGUGCCGCAAAUGAAGUCGAAGGGCGACUCACAACCGAGAUCAUACCUCCACUUGCCGUCGGUUAAGCCGAAAAACCACACGCCACCGAGAAUACAACACGACACCUACGUGCCGACAGUGAAGACGAAAGGCAUCACAUGCCGAGACCACACCAAGGAUAAGAAACGCACCCUCUCGCCGGACACAAACCAACAACCUAGGCGACACAAGAACCACCCAAUCUCCAACAAACCAUAGACGAAGCACUCCCUAUGACAAUGAACGCAACCAGAGGCCGUCAAGCGAUAGUGUCUCCAAGGCAACGCCUUCAAGAAGGAUAGCGACAUUGGGAUGUCAUCAUUGCCCGAUCUGACAACAAUCAGAUCUUAGGUUUUCACCGGAGACCUCUAAACAGCAAUGUGGCAAGAUGCAGCUCUUCGAUGAAGCCUCCAACGAGGGAAACGACACCGACGGUGCCGUCAUCAUCGGCAGAGACCAUAGGUCCUGCAAGUUUUCACCCAGAGCAUGCAUCCCGCAAUGAAUCGUGCCACGAUCGCAUGAACAGAACACGAUUCAUAUCCCCAUUACAGCGAAGCACGCAGCAGCAGCCACCAAAAGAAAGGAGAACGAGGGAAGUUACUGCAAAUUCCUAGCCGCACCGCUGCUUGCCGAAGAUGCCAGGACGCGGCGAAGACCGGAUCAGGCCUACCCGCGCCCGGAAGCCAAGGGCGAGGUGAAGCCCGAGCCGAAGCCGGUCAGGUCCGCAGCACGUCAUCGGGGAGCGCAGUCCACUACCAGCAACCACGCGAGACGAAGAGGGAAAAGCGCCCCAACUACGGUGGCAGGCCCUGCGACGCCAGAACUGGCCGGAGAGCCGCCGUAUCCGGCCGUAGAACAGCCAGAUCUGGACGAAGAGGGCCACCAGGCCACCACUGACUCGAGACCUCGCGCGCCUGCGACCGGAUCCGGGACGAAGCUUGCUGAGAAAGAAGGCCCCGCCGUCGCCGAGCGAGCUUUGCCCGCCGGCGACCACCGGCGGCGGCGAGGCGGAGGAGAGGAUGUGCGGCGGCGAGAGCGAUGGAGUGCUGGGCGCCGGCCGAGUCGCCCCUGAGAGAGCGACGCGGGGGCCUCACGCGUUUUCUUUUUCUAGUAGGAUCAAUACUCGAGGCCGACGCAGCCCGCUCCUCCUCGUCGCCGGCGGAGGUUCCCCGGUCGUGUGGUGACUCCGAGCGGCCUUGCCUCGCAUUAUUGAGCUGUUCACGUGGUACAUCUUGUGGCGGGAGUCAUUGAUCUGGUGGGAGCAGUGGCGGAUUUUGGAGGAGGCGGCAGAGGAGGAAAUGAGACCCGCUCAGUAACUCGACCACUGUGACCUACAUAUGGCGCGUGGAAGAAUCGUUUUACGAUAGUUCUAUACUUUUUAUAUGCCCGACAGUUUUAC